GUGCUCUACUCUUUGUUAUCAGGGCUCAGAGGACUCAACACAACCUGCUUCAGAGUCAGGGGUCAGGUAACGCCAGCACAGUUGCCAUGAGCCAACAUCUAACAAGUGGAGAAGGAAACGAGGAACCCAACAAAACAGAUGAGACAU